AGAAAUUGUAGAUAAAUUAUAGUUAAAUUAUAGAAUUUGCAAUAAAAGAUAAAAUACAAUAGCAGUUAGUCCUUCACGUCACAAAAGCUAACAAAAGGAGAUCUCUUUGAAGAGGAUAAUGUGUAAUCAGACCUUAUUCCUAUCUUGUGGAGGUAGAAAGACUGUUUCCGAUAGAUCUUCGUCUCAAGAAAAACAUCUCUUAUCAGGUUUGAAAAAGAAAAAACAGUAGUGAAGAAGCGAUGUUGAAAAUAAUGAACACAGGUACGGUAACAACAGCAGAGCAAUAAGAAAACCGAAGCAAGGGAAACAACAUGGAGUAAUAGAAAUGAAAGCCUAAGAUAAUACGAAAGUGAUGAUGAAAGCUCCAUUUAGUCUUAUCUGAAAGUCCCCACUUCACGCAUUAGGCCUCACAUUCUGUUUUCAUCAACUUUAGGGACUGGCUGAAUAUCACCAUUUAGGAUGAGGACGAAACAAAGCUAAGGGCAAUGACCUUUUCUCUUUAUUUCCAGUAAUGACAUGCCUAUGUUUCCAACAAUAGCAAAAGCUGAGGUUAAAAGCCAAUGCAACUAUUGGCAUCUUCCCAGUUAUAUUUUCACCUUUUGCUCAUGUCCAUCGUGAUAUAUCUGUUCCAUGAAAAGCAAAAGAUGAAUUUAAAAGCCAAUGCAAACCAUUGGCAUCUUUACAUUUACACUUUUGUCACAAACCAGGGCUUAUUUCUUAGUGGAGCAAAUGACCAAAAAUAGCAAAAGAAUGAGGCCGGUCAGUUGGUAAUCCAUCAAACUCUCCACUUUAUUCUUCUAACUAAAAAGAGAAUCACCUGCGGAAAGGAAACACAUCUCAAUCCAUGUAUUCUCAGGAGGAUAUGUGAAGAAGGAGAGUAAGCUUCGAACAGCUCAGCAAAACAAGGAUACAUUGCAAAUUAGAAUUUGCACAAAAAUUGACUAGAAACAACCAAACAAGGAUAGAUUUAGGAGACGUGGCAACGCAGGCAACUGCAUGAUUUAGCUUCAGCGGAAUUAGUCAAAUAAGACGAGUGUUUUACAGCUCAAAGAAUUCGUGACAAUCCAACUUGCGAAUAUUACUUUUAAAAUUUUACUAUCGAACCAAGAGAUUUAACAUAAUCAAUUUUUGCAGAAUCUCUCACCAACUUGUCAAACAGUGGGUCAGGUAAAUAAAUUAGUAUCUAUACCGUUCAUUUAGUAUACACAUAAUUCAUCAUAAUUAGAGUAUUUUCUAUGCUGGCCAUCAACCUACCACACAACUCAUUCCUAGCUUGGGACUAACCAUACUUAGCGAAACUCAUAUAAGCAGACUAGACACUAUUUUAUCCAUAUGAUCGUCCAUAAUUACAUGAGAGACCAAAGAAUCUUACUUUUCCACCCUAAAGUGUCAUUUGAAAUCAGAUAGCCCCAAUCAGCAAUCCUAUUUCAAAUAGGCUAUUUGAAUUCUUUUGCUGAAAUUUGUCAUCUCCUAUGAUGCACCAUAACCUGCAAGUUUCAGCCAGAGAUUACUCUUUCAACUGUCCGGCAACUAAUUAUAAAAAGCAGGGGUGGAAAUUGUAAGGAUGAGAUUCUUUUGGUACAUUCAUUUCUUUCUGAAUGGAGGUAAAAGAAUCUGUGGUAAUGAACCUAGAGAAGUAGAGAUAGCAGUGAAAGUGCUAUGUGAGGGAUCAGAAUCGGAAAGCUAUUAUAAUUCUCAUCCAUAUUUUCUUAGGGGAAAUUACACUUUUGUUCUCAAGUUAUAGCAUAGUUAUUUCUUUUCCAUAUGGCAUAGAUCAAGUUCAAUUGUUUUUGUUGCUUAAAUUCAACAAAAACUUCUGACCGAAUCAACAGGAAAUAAAUUUAAUGUAAACAACCUCAUCAUCUUUUGUGGCUCCGCAUUCUUUCUCACUAUAUAUCCCCGCUUACCUCCUACAAAAUCCUUUCUCUAAUCUUGUAAUUUGUAAACCUUAAACGGAAAAGGUCCAAAUAUCCCCCUGAACUUUACGAAAAUGGCCAAAUAUAACCCUCGUUAAAAGUUUGGCACAUCCACAACCUUACAUUAAUGGCCUAUAUACCCCCCUCGUUUUUUAACGGAGAUAAAUACCCCCUGGACUUUACAAUAAGGUCUAUAUAUAACCCUCGUUUUUUUAACAAUAUAUUUUUCUUGUUUGUAAAAACUGAAAAUAUUUUGUUGAAAAUGAUUUCUUUAGUUCUUAAAAGGCGAAAAUAUUUUGUAAAAAACGAUUUUCCCCCCCUGUUUUUACAACAAAAAAAGUUUUUGCAAAAUUUGUUUUUCCAGUUUUUACAAAAAAACAUCUUUAAAAAAAUUGAAAAAUGAAGAAAAAAAUAUUUUUCAAAAGCAAAAAUAAUUUGUUGAAAAUAUUUUAUUCAGAUGACUAACUCAGAAAAAGAAAUCCAGACACAAAAUUGCAAUUGCCUACACUUCGUGAUAGAAGAACAUUGUUAUUCCACCAAAGAGAUCAGAAAGAUGCUUUAGGUACUUAAGACUGGUCUCUUUGGUGGUUUUGUUGUAAAAACAGAGGGAAAAAUCGUUUUUUUACAAAAUAUUUUCGUUUUUUAAGAACUAAAGAAAUCAUUUUCGACAAAAUAUUUUCAGUUUUUACAAACAAAAAAAAUAUUUUGUUAAAAAGACAAGGAUUAUAUAUAGACCUUAUCGUAAAGUUCAGGGGGGUAUAUAGGCCAUUAAUAUAACGUUAGGGUUGUGGAUGUGCCAAACUUUUAACGAGGGUUAUAUUUGGCCCUUUUCGUAAAGUUCAGGGGCGUAGUUGGCCCUCUACCGAACUUUAAAUAGACCCCUACUCAACCCUUUGGAAACUUGUAAGUGGUCCCUUGAAGACAAGUCAAGAAACGCUAAGAAAGGUCGCCAAUGAACUUUCUAUUUAUUCGUCUCACUCAACAACAUACAGCUUAGCUAAAAAGGGUAAGCAACUAACGUGAGCCUAUAUUUAGUGAUUUAGUUAGUUCAAGCUUUGGCACCUUAAAGAGUAAAGGUGUAUGCGGAAAAAGGGAACUCAUGCAACGAGGUUAAACUUUGGAGUGUAAGAUACCAAUGUGCAUAAAGAUUUUGAUGCAUUUAUAAGGAAAUUAGCAACAGAAGGGGAUUGAGGUGAUACUUUGAAGGCAAAAUCUUUGAAACUUUUCGUGUGAUGUAGCUGACAUCAUUUUUAAUUUUCAGUAAAUAAAGUUAAAUGUGUUGAGUCACAGGAGUAUUAAACUAGUGAUGGCAAAAUGGUUCAAAUAAAACAGUUAACCAUCCAUAUUAUCCACUAAAAAUGGGUUGGAAAAUGAACUUUUUAAAAACAGGUCAAAUAUGGAUAAAACCAUAUUAUCCAUUUAGAAAAUGGACACCCAAUAGGUCUAACUUUUACAUUUGUAAAGUCUCAAACUGGGAGUUCCUCAAGUUAGGAAAACUAAGAAUUCUCCCAAAAGUGAUCAUAUUUAAGAAGUCAUGGAUAAUAUGGUUACUCAUAUUAUCCGUCGGUUAACUCCUUUUUUAUCCGUAUUAAAUAUGGGUCGGAUCGGACAAUUUGUCCGGUUUUUAUUGCCCGUUUUCGACCCGAACCAUAUCCGACACGACCCGACCGUUUGCCACUCCUACAUUAAACUAAAACUAGUAUUGCACUACAACACAUGGAUGUUAAAACAACCUCAACCCCCCCUCCCCAAAAAAAAAGAAAAAAAACAAAAUAUACUUCACGAUAUUAACACUGCGAAAUCUCAAGUAGCCACCAAGGUUCAAUCACAGGCAACGCAAUAGGUGAAUCCUUCAUUUGCCUAAGAUUUGUAGGCAAACUAUGAUGGUUAGAGUUACCUAGUACCUAUGAUAGUAGAAAGUAAUAGGUACUCAGUAGAUUAGUCAAGGUGUGCAAAAACUCACACGGACCCACUAACAUUAUCAAAAUAAUAUGAAUGAUUUAGGUUCAAAUAUGACUUGGCUUGAAAUUUUCAGAAAAAGUAUGAAAGGUGUUAAGAAAACAUUAGUGUUUUUAAUAGAUGGAAGAGCUAUAAAAGAGACUGCAAUAUUGUCGCUGGAUAAUGAAGAGGAAGAUUAGGAGAGGUAAAGAGGUUAUUAAGCAUUCUGUAAUUCCAUCUCAUGAAGUUUUUUUUUCUUGUUGCCUUUUACCAGACACCAUGAUAUGCAUUUCCUGUGUGUCAUUAAGGUGAUCUUUUACCUCUCCAUUUUCUUUAUUUGUGGUCAUAUGUGAUUCUUGGGAUAAUUUAACAACAAUAUACAAGCAUCCAAGAGUAACAAAGACUCAGAAUGCAGUGUAUUUAUUUCUUUCCUAAACCAACAAUCAAUCAACUUCACCUCAAUCCCCAAUUAGUUGUAGUAUGUUAUAUAAAUCCUCUUCACUCAUUCUGCUCUAUUCAGGUCCAUUGCAACAUUUCAAAACAUUCAAAUACCUCCCGUUUUCAAGCACUAUGUAUGAUUUACAAACACAACAAAGCAGAAUAAUAAAUUUCGGUAUCUCACUAACUCCGCUCCCACCCCACAACCGGAACAAUGUAUCAUCGAAUCAGAGGCACAAGAAGACUUUUCCAAUCCAAUAAAAAGGGAAUGAGGAGAGAAAGUACCUGAGAAAUUGGACCCAAAAAACGAUCAUUCCGAUCCCAAAGCUUCAACCUUUGGACCUGCAAUCGCAAAACCAGUGCCGGCUCGACCCCCAGGCAACUAAAGCCAAAGCUUUAGGCCCCCAAAAAUAGGAGGUCCCAACAUUUACUCUUCG
rnacentral:lncRNA from 1 species